rnacentral:rRNA from 1 species
UGGGGGAUAUUGCACAAUGGGCGAAAGCCUGAUGCAGCGACGCCGCGUGGGGGAUGAAGGCCUUCGGGUUGUAAACUUCUUUUGCUCUGAACAAGGCAUGCCUUUGGGGUGUGUUGAGUGUAGGGGUUGAUUAGCGUCGGCUAACUACGUGCCAGCAGCCGCGGUAAUACGUAGGGCGCGAGCGUUGUCCGGAAUUAUUGGGCGUAAAGGGCUUGUAGGUGGCUGGUUGCGUCUGUCGUGAAAGCUCAUGGCUUAACUGUGGGUUUGCGGUGGGUACGGGCUGGCUUGAGUGCAGUAGGGGAGGCUGGAAUUCCUGGUGUAGCGGUGGAAUGCGCAGAUAUCAGGAGGAAUACCGGUGGCGAAGGCGGGUCUCUGGGCUGUUACUGACGCUGAGGAGCGAAAGCGUGGGGAGCGAACAGG